rnacentral:rRNA from 1 species
UACGUAGGGUCCGAGCGUUGUCCGGAAUUAUUGGGCGUAAAGGGCUCGUAGGCGGUUUGUCGCGUCGGGAGUGAAAACUCAGGGCUCAACCCUGAGCGUGCUUCCGAUACGGGCAGACUAGAGGUAUGCAGGGGAGAACGGAAUUCCUGGUGUAGCGGUGGAAUGCGCAGAUAUCAGGAGGAACACCGGUGGCGAAGGCGGUUCUCUGGGCAUUACCUGACGCUGAGGAGCGAAAGCAUGGGUAGCGAACAGG